rnacentral:rRNA from 1 species
CACGUAGGGCGCGAGCGUUGUCCGGAAUUAUUGGGCGUAAAGAGCUCGUAGGCGGCCUGUUGCGUCCGCUGUGAAAGCCCGGGGCUUAACCCCGUGUCUGCAGUGGAUACGGGCAGGCUAGAGGUAGGUAGGGGAGAAUGGAAUUCCCGGUGUAGCGGUGAAAUGCGCAGAUAUCGGGAGGAACACCGGUGGCGAAGGCGGUUCUCUGGGCCUUACCUGACGCUGAGGAGCGAAAGCGUGGGGAGCAAACAGG